rnacentral:rRNA from 1 species
GACGGAAGGUGCAAGCGUUGCUCGGAAUCACUGGGCGUAAAGGGUGCGUAGGCGGCCGUGCAAGUCUGGCGUGAAAGCCCCGGGCUCAGCCCGGGAAGUGCGCUCGAAACUGCGCGGCUCGAGUGCCGGAGGGGAGAGUGGAAUUCCUGGUGUAGCGGUGAAAUGCGUAGACAUCAGGAGGAAUACCGGUGGCGAAAGCGACUCUCUGGGACGGUACUGACGCUGAGACGCGAAAGCGUGGGGAGCGAACAGG